GUCGAAGUGGUGAAAUUGGUAUACACGCAGGCUUGAGGUGUCUGUGCCCGAAAGGGUGUGCGGGUUCAAGUCCCGCCUUCGACA
rnacentral:tRNA from 1 species